CGCUUUCCUUUCUCUGUUGCCUUGUAACUGCUAAAUUCCCGCAAAGAGGGAAAACUUGGAGCCGCUGCAGGCGAGCAGCAUUUUUAAGUUUCAGGCAAAGGCCGAGAAAUAAGAAGCCCACUGGCUUCUUGUGAAUGCACGCUUCAGUUCGUCGGAAGCCCACAGCCAGAGGUAGAAGCUUUUCCUCCUCUUCCCUUCUUCUCUUCCUCCUUCAAUAUUGAUUCAAACAAGGGGAAGCGAUUUUGUCUCCUACGUUACUCCUCACCAAAAAAAGGGGAAAAAUAUUGAUUCAAACAAAACCACCUUUUAUAUGAGUUAAAUGUGUUUAAGGUUUUGUUAUUUUUCUGGUUUUCUCCAUGUUCGACCAAAACAUGCACCGGUUACGUAAUGUUUCUCGAUCAGCUUCCACAAAUCUCCGUCAAAUUAUCCUUUUUAAUUUUAAGUUUGUUUUUUGUGAAGAAAAAGCACUAUGGAUGUCGACGGGCAGAAAUCUAAACUAAUUGCUUGUUUCCUUCAAAAAUUUGAAUUUUUUUUUUGAUUGAAAAAAAAAAAAUGGAUGUCAGGAGACCUCCGGGGACAAACGUAGCAAGCGCCGGCUGGGAGAGCUGGAACUGGAUUCGCGGUGGCUGGUUUCUGCUGCUCCGCCGGAUCACAUACUCGCUCCGUUUGGAGUUUCACGUUUCGGGAAUGUGGAACGACGGCGUCUUCCCGUCUCUCUCUUCUCCUUUUACCACCAGCUUCGCGGGGAACAGCGAAUCUCGGAUUCCGAGUUCCAUCGCCUUCACAGCAGAGCUCGAGAGACGAUACAGAGCGGAUAUCUUCACCACUCCCCAGGAUUCCGACUGUUUCCAGCUCGGAAGUUUUCCGCCACCACUCUCACCAGCCACUGGCCUCUCCAUAACUCCAUUAAAUUCCAAUCCAGGUUUUUCGAAUCUGAAACGAUUCCAGUGUUAGUCUUAGUUUAAUUAGUAGCUCAUUGAGAUAAUGUAUUUGUUGGUCUGGUUUUAAAUGGAGCAGGAGAUGUUGAUGUUUUGACGGCUACUGCUGCCACCAACCUGAAACCAUCUGCCAUGACUCAAGUUCAUCCUUUUAAUGUGGCGGGGUGUAAUAAACGGAUGGCAUCCAGUGAUUCUACGAGCAAGAGAACUACUUCUACACAAGCAUCAAAGAGGCUGAAGACUGCGGAGCGGCUGCAUCAAACGCCAUGCGAGGAAUCAGCAUCAACCCAUUUACAGCUGAUGAAAGUAGGUGGACUGCCAUCAUCGUUUGUUGAAGUUUUUUUUUUUUUUUUUUUUUAAUUGGAGACAGAGAUUGUUUAAGUUUUUAAUCACUGGCGUAGAGUAGGCUUUCAGUUAUGUGUGUUUAAUGUUGGUAGGCGCCUGUGAAGAGGAGCCAGAAGCUAGGGGAUAAGAUUACAGCUCUACAGCAGCUCGUUUCUCCAUUUGGAAAGGCAAUAGCAUUUGUAUUGUUUGAUUAUAUAGGUUAGAAGAAAAAAGCUUAUAUGUACUAAUGACACAUUGGAUGAAUUGGUUGCAGACUGAUACAGCAUCAGUACUUCAUGAGGCCACAAUUUGCAUUAAAUUCCUUCAUGAGCAGAUUCAGGUAUAUCUGCUUGAACAUAACUCUCCUGCCUUUUUUUUUUUUCAAAUGUUCAUGCACAAUUACAACUUAGUUUAGUUUCCUUCAUGUUUUCUCUUAGGAUAAGUUUUUUAAAAUUUUGCAGGUGCUGACUGCUCCUUACUUCAGAAUCAAAUCUUCACCUCACUUGCUGGGCCAUGGAGGAGAGAAAGCAAGCUUGCGAAGCAGAGGAUUGUGUUUGGCUCCUAUCUCAUCGACCAUCAUCAGUCUCAUUAAUCAACCUGCAAGCAAUUCCCAUAGCCCCGAGAGAACAGCCAUGGCAACCAGUGCAUGUUUCUAUUGACGAAUUGAGGAUACCACAAAGGAACAAUCAUCAAAGAAUAAACAUUAGUUUAGUUGGAAUGAGAUGAUGAGCUGCCAUUCAAAUUAUGUAGCUAUUAAACCGAGUUUCGUUCAUAGGCUACUUGAAAUGAGAUGGUGGUUUUGUUUUUGGGAGACUAUGCUUUACAUUUGUUUACAGGUUCGGGUUGUACCUCUCACGUCGAAGAAUAAUUGGUCUUCUUCUGCAUAGUCAGCCAUUGGAUCACACCUUGCACAACUUUUAAAGCACUCCGAUCUUUUUGUCCAUCUACCUACACAUAGUUUGAAGCAGUUAUUGUGCGAUCCAAUAGUUGACGCCAUGGAAGAAGGGGAAUCAUUCUUUUGUGCGGAAGACACAACCCGAACCCUUUGCCUACCUAGGAUAUUUACUCCUUAAGUGCUUCCAAAUUAGACAAGUGGGGCUUAUUCUACUUCCCCAAGCUUGUUUAAGUUGAGGAUUUGAUCAUUGAUGACCUUGUCAUCUAACAUCCUUUAUUAUAUGUCUACUAUUAGAGGCCUAGCCGGCCAUUUCUCAUAAGAUAUCGUGGGUGCAAAUUGAACUUAUUAUGAACUUUAUUUAAACAUUGCCUGGAUGAAGCAGAUGAUAGCAACGAGCAGGCUGAGAAACUUCAGCGCCUUAAUUUUGGUGGGUGGCGUCAUCAACAUGAACUGCAGAAAAUUCUCUUUUUUAUAAAAAAAAA